UUUGCUUUUGCAAAUUCUAGUGUGUGUUUAGUAUGUGUGAGAGAGAGAGAGGUCUUCCACGAUGAAGCACAUAUAUCCAUGUAAUUAUCCCAACACAAAUCCAUGAUAUUGGUAUCCCAAUAUUAAUUCCAGAUUCUUUCAUUCUUCCAUAUCAAGCAGUAUGCCUUUACACUGUCUGGUAGUCGCAAAGGUGAAACUGGUAGGGCUUUCAAAGUGUCACGCUUUUACUGCUACUCCAAUUCUGGCCACCUUAAUGUGGCCAUUCUUGUUCAAACUACUACUGAAUUUGAGGCCAAUAAAGGACAUUGUUGAAUCCAUGGGAAACGACUCCAGUCUUUUUGUCUUUCAGUUGGGCCAGAUAGUCAUGUCUCAGGCCACCAGUCGAAGGAGAUGGCAACGAAUCCUCCGUUUGGCUCAAGAAAGGAUGUCUACGGCUCAACAAUCCUACGACGAUACCUUACAUACCCUUUCCAUGGUUGCGCUCUAAUGAGGAUCGAGUUGUGGGUAACAGCUACAAGGAGUGUGCGAAUUGCUAUCGAUAUCGUUUCUUGACCUUAACAUAGCCUUAAAACUUUGAUAUCAUUAUAUUCUUGCAGCCUUACUUAGUUAAAGUUUCAUUUUAAUGUAAUUGCCCUGUGGCGUAUAUGAUAUUACUAUGAGCCUUGAGGUACGCAUACCUAUAUUUGACUUAUCAUUUAUUGAAAUGAUUUUGAUUUAUUUA